UACGGGGGGGGCAAGCGUUGUUCGGAAUUACUGGGCGUAAAGGGCGCGUAGGCGGCCUGCUAAGUCGGAUGUGAAAUCCCUCGGCUCAACCGAGGAACUGCCUCCGAUACUGGCGGGCUUGAAUCCGGGAGAGGGAUGUGGAAUUCCAGGUGUAGCGGUGAAAUGCGUAGAUAUCUGGAGGAACACCGGUGGCGAAGGCGGCAUCCUGGACCGGUAUUGACGCUGAGGCGCGAAAGCUAGGGGAGCAAACGGG
rnacentral:rRNA from 1 species